GAUCCUGGCUCAGGAUGAACGCUAGCUACAGGCUUAACACAUGCAAGUCGAGGGGCAGCAUGAACUUAGCUUGCUAAGUUUGAUGGCGACCGGCGCACGGGUGAGUAACACGUAUCCAACCUUCCGUUACUCAGGGAUAGCCUUUCGAAAGAAAGAUUAAUACCUGAUAGUAUGGUGAGAUUGCAUGAUAGCACCAUUAAAGAUUUAUCGGUGUACGAUGGGGAUGCGUUCCAUUAGGUAGUAGGCGGGGUAACGGCCCACCUAGCCUACGAUGGAUAGGGGGUUCUGAGAGGAAGGUCCCCCACAUUGGAACUGAGACACGGUCCAAACUCCUACGGGAGGCAGCAGUGAGGAAUAUUGGUCAAUGGACGAGAGUCUGAACCAGCCAAGUAGCGUGAAGGAUGAAGGUCCUACGGAUUGUAAACUUCUUUUAUAAGGGAAUAAAACCUCCCACGUGUGGGAGCUUGUAUGUACCUUAUGAAUAAGCAUCGGCUAACUCCGUG
rnacentral:rRNA from 1 species